rnacentral:rRNA from 1 species
UACGUAGGGUGCAAGCGUUGUCCGGAAUUAUUGGGCGUAAAGAGCUCGUAGGCGGUCUGUUGCGUCAGGAGUGAAAACUCGGGGCUUAACCCCGAGCCUGCUUCUGAUACGGGCAGACUAGAGGUAUGCAGGGGAGAACGGAAUUCCUGGUGUAGCGGUGAAAUGCGCAGAUAUCAGGAGGAACACCGGUGGCGAAGGCGGUUCUCUGGGCAUUACCUGACGCUGAGGAGCGAAAGCAUGGGGAGCGAACAGG